rnacentral:rRNA from 1 species
UACGAAGGGGGCUAGCGUUGUUCGGAAUUACUGGGCGUAAAGCGUGCGCAGGCGGCUUCUCAAGUCAGGGGUGAAAGCCCAGAGCUUAACUCUGGAAUUGCCUUUGAGACUGAGAGGCUUGAGUACGGGAGAGGUGAGUGGAAUUCCCAGUGUAGAGGUGAAAUUCGUAGAUAUCGGGAGGAACACCGGUGGCGAAGGCGGCGACCUGGGUCGAGACUGACGCUGAGGCGCGAAAGCGUGGGGAGCAAACAGG